rnacentral:rRNA from 1 species
GAUUUCUGACAUGAUGCGCUUGGCCCGCCGGGGUUACCUGUGUGAGUGCCGAGUCGUGUUUGUCAUCCUUCUAGAAAAUGUAUAGUAUGACUCUUCAUUGAUGUUAUAUUGUAUCACAAUCUAGAUCUUUUACUUUGAAAAAAUUAGAGUGUUUAAAGCAGGCGUUUGCUAUGAAUACAUUAGCAUGGAAUAAUAAUUUAGGACUUUGGUUCUAUUUUGUUGGUUUCUAGAACUGAAGUAAUGAUUGAUAGGGAUGGUUGGGGGUGCUCGUAUUCAGUGGCCAGAGGUGAAAUUCUCGGAUUCACUGAAGACGAACUUAUGCGAAAGCAUU